rnacentral:lncRNA from 1 species
ACUUAUUUACUUCAGUCAGCUCUAUUUUAUCAGCUCGUUAGUUCAUAAUCAAAUCAAAUCGCAUCAAAUCUUUACCUGAAUGGUGAAGAAAUUAAUUUAUUAAUUAAAAUAUUCAAACAGCUUGAUCAAACAAUCAUAAUAUGCAUAUUACAUUUGCUUCUCGAAUUUCUCCACAUAACAAAUAAUAAUCAAACUCAAGGUCAGCCCAAACUUAGUUGCGGUUAGCAGCAUCAAGAUGAUUACACUAGGCCUCGCAACCAAUGUUAAUAGUAAAGCAGUGAAAGAAGGUAAUGUUAAAUUAACGACAAUGAUGCCUACAUCUCUCCAUUGAGCUCAAUUGAUGACUAGCCUUAGUUGAGAGAGUUUGUCAUAAUGGAAAUUACUUACUUAGACAGUGACAGAGACUUUUCUUGAGAACAGAUAAAAUAAUUGUUAUGUAUUGACUCCCUUUUAGUAAGAACUCAAACCACCCAAGACCUAUCUCUACUCCAAGAUUGAUUGAAUGACACAAGAUAUAAACACCAAACAAGAUUUGAUCAGAAAACAAGAACAAACAAGAUCAAAGAAAACAGAGAUUUAUAGUAGUUUGACACCUAAUUGCAGUGCCUACAUCCACUUGAGGAAGAUUACACUGAUUUUGCUAAAUCAAGUUCGAAGGUUAUAGAGGUAACAAGAUGUAUAUGAAGCUUACAAUCCACCAUUGUUUGCUCUCUCUUCCCAAUCUAGCUUCUCUAUCUAAUCUCAAGGAACACACCAGAAGUUGCUAUUUAAAUUCUGCUUCUAGUAAAUUUUUUUUCCAGCUACCAUUUUUCUCGAAAACCAACUAAGAUAACGGCCUCUUUACGUGCCAAUCACAAGCCUUUACUAAUGAGAUCGAAAACGACAAACAACCCGUGUUAUGCAUGUGAGUUACUUAGGAAUUCAGAUGACAUUCUGAACAUGUCAGUUUGGCCUUAGUACUUUGCUGAUGACAUGUCGAGUAAACUUGAACCCUUAAGAUGACGAGUUAACCAUUUGAGUUUGACUUCAUCCUCGUCAAUCUCCAUCUUGAACUCACAACUCUAGUUACUCCUGGCAGCUAUCUUCCUCAUCAUUUAUAGUAACUUAAAACUUCCAAAUCUUUGCUAAGUUCAAGUAAAGGUUGAACUUAGCAGAUGGCACCACUUUGGUCAGCAUAUCUGUGGAUUCUCAUCUAUGUGUAUGUUCAGCUUCACACCAUCUCUUGAUACUUCUAAUCUUACAAAGUGCAGCUUCACAUCAAUAUACUUUGUCGUUUCAUGAUGAGUCUGAUUUUUACUAAGGUAUAUUGCAUUUUGACUGUCAUACUACACUGCAACUAUCAUUUGUUUAGCUUAUAAUACAGUGACCAUUCCCUUCAACGAAAUAGCCUCCUUGAAAGCUUCUGAUGCAGCUGUGUAUUGAGCCUCAGUUGUAGGGAAGGCAACCACACUCUGCAAUGUUGCUUUUCAGUUUACAGAACAGCCUCCCAAAGUGAACAAAUAACUUGUUUGAGACCUUUUUUUUUAAUCAAGAUCCCCAGUAAAAUCAGAAUCCUAUCAUUUGAUCCAUUGUACACCAUACCACAUUUCAUAAUGCCUUUUAGAUGCCUCAAUAUCCACUGAACUGCUCUCCAAUAUUCGUAACAAGAAUUAGCCAUAAAUCUACUUACCACACUCACAAUAUGUUAGAUAUUUGGUUUGAUAAGUACCAUGGCAUACAUAAUGCACCCAACAGCACUUGACUAAAUAAUGCUGGCCAUUUACUAUUGUUGUGUAUCAAUUUUUGGAUACUGAGUAGUUGACAAUCUAAAAUGACUAACCAAAAGUGUUUGAACAGGUUUAGAAUCAUGCAUUCCAAACUUGUGUAAAACCUUCUUGAUCUAGUUUUGCUUAGUCAGAAACAUAACAUCUUUCUCUCUAUUUCUAACUAUUUCCAUCCCUUAAAUCCUCUUUCAGCUGUAUGAUCCUUCAUUUCAAACUCAAUGCUCAAAAGACCCUUGAACUAAUCAAUCUCUUUUCUGUCAUGACAUGGUAUCGGCAUAUCAUCCACAUACAACAAGAGAUAUAUCAUCUUCCCUUCACUUAUCUUCUUAAAGUAUACAUAACAAUCAUAGUUGCAUCUAUUAUAGGCAUGUUUAGUCAUAAAACUAUCAAACUUUAGGUACUAUUGCCUAGGUGAUUGUCUCAAACCAUACAAAGACUUCUAAAACAAACAAAUAUGAUCUUAUAUACCAAGCACUACAUACCUUUAAGGCUAUUGCAUUACAAUUUCUUUUUGUAAUUCACUAUAUAGAAAAGUUGUUUUAACAUCCAUCUCCUCAAGAUAUAUAUCCUAAAAUUUAACAAGUAUAAGAAUGAUUCUGAUGGAAGCAUGCUCCCCACUGGAGAGAAAACUUCAUUGAAGUCAAUUUCUACUCUCUGUGUAAAGCCUUUGCCACCAAUCUAGCUUUAAAUCUCCUUGGCUCAGCAUUAGGUAUCUCUUCUUUUAUCUUGAAGAUCCAUUUGCAGCUUACUGUUUUUUUUUUCUUUUUUUUUUGUAGUUUUUCAAUCAAUCUCCAAGUUUCUUCUUCAUUAGAGAUUCAAUCUCUUUAUUCAUUGCUUUCCACCAUUUUAGCUUGUUUUUGCUAGUGAUUGCUUCUUCAUAAGUGCUUUGUUCAUCAUCGUUUAACUUAUGAGUAGCUGUUAGUGUAUAACCAAUCAAAUCUAUUGCAGCAUACCCUCUAGGUGGCUUAAUGGCACUCCUUUUCCCGUCUUUUGCCACAUGAUAAGUGUCUCUUUCACUUUCAGUUGUUUCAGAUUCUUUAUGAACAUCUAAUUUACCUUCAAAACUUUAUGCUUUACCUUCAACACCUGAUUUAGUCUUCUUAAGUUCAUAGGGCUCCACCUCAAACUGAAUUUUUUCUAGUUCAAUUUCUGGUUUCUACUCAUCAUUUAAAAAACUUCUACAUAACUAUAUUAUUUCUACUUCAUUAAACAUCACAUCUAUGCUUAUAACACAUUUUAAUGGUUUGAAAACAACAUACCAUAAUCUAUAACCCUUAACUCCAUCAAGGUACCUUAGAAAUAUGCAUUUUAGAGCUCUAGGUUUCAGUCUACCUUGUUUAACACGUGCAUAUGCCGAACAACCAAAAAUCCUAAGUUUAGAAUAAUCAGAAACUUUUCCUAUCCACAAGUCCAUUAGCUCUUUGCAUCCUAAAGCUGUUGAGGGCUCUUAUUCACUAAAUAAUAAUCAGUGUUCAAUACUUCUGCCCAAAGGGUCUUUGGCAACUUUCAGUACAACAACAUACAUCUUACCUUUUUCAUUAAGUUUCUAUUCAUCUUCUUAGUAAGAUCAUUCUGCUGAGGUGCAUAUGUUACUAUUUUGUCUCAAAAUGUCAUUCUUUUCACAAACAUCUUCAAACAAUUUGGGGUGGGUUUUUUUUAUAGUAAAAUAUUUUUAUUUUAUAAUAAAUUUUUUUGUCUUGUAAUAAAUAUAUUAUUUUUUGUUCAUGCAUCAAUAUGAUAAAUAUCUAAUAAUUGAUUGAAUGCAAUUGGUCCUCGCGUCCAACUCAAUCCCUGCUUGCGGGUCCCCGUAGACUUGGUGACGUCUUUAAUCAUUUGAUCAUUGGUUCUAUGAAGAGUCAACUCAAGAUUCAUAUGCGCGUCAGAAAAUUAGCAUAUGAAGAAGGACCAAUGAAUCAUUUACCACAUAAUCUCUAGCUCGUUAAUUACUCCAUCUCACAGCAACUAGUGAAUUAAAAAGUCAUAAAUAUCACCUCAAUCCAAAACAAGGUUAAGAACUGUAUGUUGAUUUGUUAUUUACACUGGCUACUUAGAAAGAUUUGAUUAGUAACUAUUGGAUAUAAAUAGAAAUAUAUGUAGGGUCUACAGUGGUAACAUACUCCAUUUAUUGUCUUUUUUUUUAAUUAAUCCCUCUGCAAUCCCUAUUUUAUUAUAAAAUUAAAAAAAUAGUCCUAAAUUCCGGCUCAUUAGUCCUACUUGUUUUAAUUUUUUAAACUUAAAUCAAAAGGUGGGGCUAUUUUUCUAAUUACUAAUUCACACACCAAUCAUCAUCGUUGUAAAAAGAAAAUUUACUAUGUACAUCUACCUAAAUGUCAUUAUAUCCUUGAUAAAAACUAAUUUUUUAUUUUUACUAAAUAAAAUAAUAAAAUAACAUAUAAAAAACUAAUUAAAUUGUUUACAUGCCCAUUAGUUUCAGUUCCAUAUCUCUAGCAAUUAACAAUUGAAUUCUAUCACUAACUCAAAGUUAUCGAGCAUGAGAUGUGAAAAAAAAUAUUCUAAAAAGUGUGGAGCAUAAAAUUGUUUUGGCUCCAAAUCCUUGUUAAAAACUUCCAAACUUGUUCAUCAAGCUUCUAGAUGUAAGAAUAAAAGAAGAACUUUUUUUGUUUUUUGGGCCUCAGCUUUUGGUACUAACUUAUUAAGCAAUAGAAAAACACAUUAUUAAUUGGUAAAUUAAUAUAUUUUUACUACGUAUUGAAAUUAUUGACUAUGUAUUGAAUAAGUAUUAUGAAAAGAAAAAUAUUAGCUACAAAUUAAGAACAAGAGAUUAAAUUCAUAUUCACAUUUAUCAUAAAAUAUAGUUCGUAAUUAAUACAUGGUAUUACGAUAUAUUAAAUUAAUUAUUUAAUAAAAAACAGUGUUAAGUUGAAUAUAUUAUUUCAAAUACAAGAAUAAGUCAUUUUAUGGUGAAAUUAACUAGGUCAAUACACCUAAGUUUAAAAAAUUUAAAAUAUUGUGGACUUAUGUGUUAAAAUUUUGAACUUUUUCACUUUUUUUAUUUCGUAGCAAGCAUUAGGGACUAUAAAGUUAAUAACCAACAGAAAGUCAGAAACAUCUUAGAGCAUCUCCAAAAGGAUCCUUAAAUUUUACUCUUCAAAUUUCAAUUUGCUUAUUGAUGUAGUAAAUAAGUGUAUAGAAAAAUAUAAUCCCCUCCAAAAGACUCACCAAAUAAGAAUAAAUUAAUAUUAUUUUAAUCAAAUCUUUCCCACUAUCAAAUUGUAUUGUUAUUAUUUUUUUUAAAAGAAACAUAAAUAAUAAUUAUUGCAGUCUUAUCUUUUCAAUAAAUAAUAAUAAAAUAUUAAUAGAAGAGGGAGAAACUCACUCGGCAAUAUUGAAGAGUGAGAAACAAAUCUUAUUUAAAUAAUCUAAAUUAACCUGUCUUUUGGAGUGUUUAAUAUUGAUAUGGCUCUUUAAAUAAGAAGUAGAAUCUUAUUUGAAGAGUCUUUUGGAGAUGCUCUUAGCCGCCGAACUAAUUUUGGGAUAGAUCUUAACAGUGGAUCAGGAAAGACAAAAAAAAGGAUAUGUUACCAUCUAUCAAAUGUGAUACAAUCAACUAACUAAGAUAUACUUUGAGGAGGCCAAGAACACCACAAAAGUUUUUAAGUACAAUUUCAUUAAUUUAUAGCACGCCUUUUAUUUUGCGCCCUUCCUAGUUAGAGUUAGAAGCUAAUUUUCUGAAAUGAUUAAAUUAUAUAUUUAUUGUCAGUGGGCCUUUAACCCAGCGGUGAACCUCUACUCUCACAGUUAAGUAUGAUUGUGAGGGUAGGGGUUCGAGUCCUCAUGGACCCAAACUCCCUCAAUUAAGCGCACCAACAAGCAUGUAGAUCAGUUGGCACGUGAUUGUUCUACCUUAACCAAGGUCCUCAGUUCAAGACUUGAGAAUGCAGCUGCGUUAAAUGCUUGUUGGGAAAGCUUUGGGGCCUUAGUGGUCCUACCCGGCUUGAAUCUAAAUUAGUCGGGGCCUAAUGUGGUCUUCUGAUACCAGAUAAUUUAAUACACCGAAAAAAUUAUAUAUUUUUAAAAUAAAUUAGAAUCAUUACGGAUAAAAAUGUUAGGAAUGUUAGUAUUGUUUUAACCUAUUAUAAAAAAAUAUUAUAGUUUAGUAUAAUUGGAAAAAAAAAAGGUAUGUCAAUAUAUUAUAAAAAGUGUUGCUCAAAAUUAUAUAUUAACAAUGGACAACAUAUAUCAUAUUUUCUAUCACUAAAAUAAAAAAGAAUUUCAUAAAUAAUUUUUUUAAUGUACUAUUUUAAUAAUUUAUAUUAUAAUAAGCUAAUUUGUUGCAAUGUUGUCAUUCUUUAUUAAAUAUAUGUAUUUUACUAAAAAUUUCAUUGUUGCGUUGCUUAACAUAUAUACUAUUUUUACUCCUUUAUCGGACUGACAUUGACACAAAUAUUACUCAAUUAAAUUUAUAAAUUAGCAUCGCAUGAUAAAAAGUCAAGGGUCUGCCCUUGAGUACUAAUAUAUUUGACAAAAACUUUUUAAAAUAAUUUGAAAGUUAAGUUAGUUUUAAACUAUAAUUAUAUGAUGAAAAAUUUUAUAAUACCUUUAUUUUCUUGGUCAAAAUUAUAAUUUUACAAUUAUAGUUUUAUUUGCUUAAUGUCUCAAAAUUAAACAAAGGCCUAAAUAAACUCCAAAUAGUUUUUUAGCCAUCUAUAAUAGUUGAAAAUAAAAUCAUAGUUGUCUUAAAAUAUAUUCCAAUUAUACAAAAUUUCUUAACAACUAAGCAAGUUUCCUAACAGAGUGCAUCAUAUAAGUUACCUUAAAACAUAGAGAAUAGAUUAGAAUUAAUAAACAGAGAAAGCAGAGCAAGCUUGUCCAGAUUAUAUUUACCUAAUACAAAUUGCAGAGGCUAAAGAAACCUAAAUUCGGUAACUUUACCUGGCAUCUGCAAUUCCCAGCUGAGAGAAGACUUUACUUUCUGAUGAGAUUGAAUUGUCCUGGUCUCUCAAAAGUUGCAUAUCAACUUCGUUCAUCGACGCGCUAUAUGAAGGAAAACGCCUGACAUUAGGGAGUGGCAAUGCAGAUGAAGCAUCGUUUGUACUGUCUUCAUGUGGCUCUCUUGUCCUUGCAGUUUGUUGAAGCUGUAAUGCAUACUCCAAGUCCCACAACACAUCACCCAUUGUUGGUCUGUCAUCACCAUCAUCCCGCAAACAUUUCUCAGCUGUCUCAGCAUAUUUCCUCAAUGAGUUUGGACUGAUCUGAACCUUUAUCAAAGGAUCUACGAUCUCCUCAAUAAGCCCUUUGUUCUUGCAAAGCAAUGCCCAAUCAGCCAGGUUAACUUGUUCUCUUGGGAGUGAGGCAUUGAUGGCUGGUCUUGCACAUAGAACCUCGAAAAGAACAACUCCAAAUGAGUAAACAUCAGAUUUUUCUGUUAAUUGUUGUGACUGGAAGUACUCAGGAUCAAGAUAACCAAAAGUUCCUUUAACAGCUGUACUGACGUGGUUUUCAUCACGCGUACCCAAUCUUGAAAGGCCAAAAUCAGCAACUUUGGCAACAUGAUUUUUGUCCAGCAAAAUGUUUGUGGACUUCACAUCACGGUGAAUGAUUCUUCCAGCUGAACCUUCGUGUAGAUAAUGAAGACCUCUUGCUGCACCAAUGCAUAUUUCAAGCCUCUGUAUCCAGGACAAACAGGGCGACUUUGACUUGUACAGGUGAUCCCUCAAAGUCCCUUUUUCCAUGAACUCAUACACUAGUAUCAUCUCAGACCGUUCAUCACAAUAUCCAAUUAAGGAAACAAGAUGGCGGUGGCGAAUUUUUGAUAAGACUAUUAUUUCAGUUUGGAAUUCUGGAAGGCCUUGGCCGGAGCCUGGUUCGCUUCGUUUUACAGCAACUUUCAUGCCGUUCCUGAGAGUUCCUUUGUAGACAUUCCCAAAUCCUCCCUUUCCGAUCACUAACUUUCUAUCAAAAUUGUGCGUCGCAAACUGAAUUUCUACAAAAGGAAUUUUUAAUCCAAGGUUUACAUUAGGCAUUGGGGAGCCGCCAGUUCCCUCCGGGACCUUACCAUGAGAACUCCCUCCUCCACGUACAUGUAAUGGAGACCAAUCCAAAGCCAAAGGAAAUUCACCAGGCUUUUGCUUUCUGUAUGUCAAAACAAAAAACAGUACAACUGCCAAUAUGCAAAUCAGAAGCAAACCUCCAAGCACUGAGCCAACUACUACCAUGACAUGCUUUUUCUUAUGUCCAUUAACUGUACCCGAUUUCUCCAUAAUCUCCAUUAUCUCAAGCCCAUUCAAAUAUGCAUCACGCUCACUCCCUGCUUCUACUUUAGGGCCUACACUGAUGUUCAUAAUUCCUCGAUCAUUCGAAUCAACCACGAAAUCAAAAUAAAAAGGUGUUGCAAUAUGGGAAAUAUCGGUGUACGGGUGGUACGGGUCGAUUUCUUUCGAAUAGGUGGCAUCGAUAUAGAGAAAAAAUUUGAAAACAUUCGGAGAUGGGCUAACAAUGUCACAGAAAUGAACCCGAACAAAGUGCCUAGCAUUCUUACUCACGUUAAAACACCAUGUUAUGUUGAAGUUAUUAGAAAGCCUACUAUUGUUUUUAUUCAUAUGCUCUGCUGUCUGGUAAACAGAAUCCGGAGCAGUGUAUUCACUAGCUAUUCCCAGAUAGUAAAGAUUAGCUAUAGGCCCAACAAUUUUUGCUGUAUCUGGAUUGUACAGAUAACGAUCAUCAGGAAUCCAGUUCCUCCCUAGAGUGUCAUUCUCUUGCGAAAUCAUAGGGCCACCAACAUUGAUCCUAUAAAUUGUCUGUAGAGCCUUUGGGUGAAUUCCCGGGUAAGAAUUAGUCUUAGUUCCUAUAGGACUAACAUGUGGACCAUUAUCAGGAAUGGAACUUAGAGGUAAAGGGUCCACAAGGAAGACUUCAAUGGCACUAACAAACGCGAAAGAUGAUUCUUGGGGCCUAAAGUAGACACAGAAUUUUCCUUGAGUGAUGCUAAGAAAGAAGUCCUUUAUUACCGGAGACUGGCUACUGUUUUGGACAUUAAAAUUAUGCAACAGCACAAACGGAUGGGAAGUGGAAACGUUGAAAACAGCUCUAUAGAGAUUGAUCGCAAAGGAGAAAGCAAAGAAAUGAAGGCGUACUAGAUGAGUGCCGUCACUGCUGACAUCGAACUCGUAGUAAGAUAAUUGAUUGAAAACUCUUGCUGUUUGAUAGAGAGCUAAUGUAUCUGGUAACUGGCUGCUGUUUUUAACAGGAUGGCUCUGCUUUGAAAAGGAGAUGGAAUCUGAAUUCAGGUCCCCUCUGAAUAUCCGAUUGCCAGAAUUCACGUCGGUGUCUGAACCACAGUUGAUGAAAUACUUGUCUGGAAGACUAUAUGCUGCACAAGUAAGUCCAACUGACAAGAGAUGGAGGAGAAAGAUGAGAGGGGAUGAAGAUUUGAGGACUUUCUUGGUUUGAAUCUUUGCCAUGAAUUCAGGUGGAGGAAAGCUAAUCUCUGUGAACUUUGAAGACUUUGUGGUUGAAAGAUGUUUAUAUGAUAUCCAUUUUGGCAGAGAAGACUCGAGUCAACAUAGUUGAAAAAUCAAACAUGAAAAUCCAGGAAAGAAAAUAUAGUGAUCACAUAAUUUUAUGUAGGAAAACAAAAAAUAUGACACGAGAGAAAUUGGUGCCCACCAUUAGAAGAUGCUCUUGCCCCUUGAUGUUGACUUAGCUGACUAUAUACAGGCCAAUUAUAUAAGCCAAAAUAAAUGUGGACCCGCGGAAAAUUCAGAAACUGGCUAAACGAAUUGUAUGUCCUCUUGCAUUUGGUGGGUGAAGCAGAAGGCCCCACAAUGGUAGGAAUUCUACAAGAAUAGCACUUCUUCCAGUCUACUAAUGGGUUGAGGCAGCAGACAUUGUCUAUAUGCUGAAUCCAUGGCAUAUUGUCAUGCUAUAUAUUUUUCAUCCUCUAUCCGAUUCCUGAAGGCCUCGAAUGCUGAUCCUGUGAAGGCUUCGAAAACCUGGUACUUGGUAAAUAUCAUAUACAGGUUAAACUGAUACUGCACAGUGAGGCGAGAUUAUUUUCACAAGGAUGAAAGAGACUUUCGUGGCAUCAACUAAAGCAAAAGAUGAUUUUGAACUCUAUGAAAGGCUUUAGUUGACUUGAAGCUUCUGUUUACAAGAAAGGAAGUCAAGUUGUGACAUAUUAGCCAGAAUGAAAAGUCUCUUCAGCACUAGUGAUUGACACUAUCUGAUCACGGAAAUUAAGAGGAGGAGGCGGAUAUUUAUUAGCAAAAUUUCUUUUAUUUAUUUGUUUAUGUUAUGUGCCUUUCAGAUUUUAAUAUUUUUUAUAUAACAAGUGUUUUUUUUUUUUUUUUUUAAAGAAUAUAACAAGUUGAAGGAGCUGAAAACUCUCCAUGUCCGGAAAUGUUGAGUUGGUGGUUGGGGGCCGUGUUUUGCUUUUAAAUGGCUAUGAAACUAGCCCGCACAGACAUUUUGACCCAUUAAGAAGCUGGGAGCCAGUAAAAAUCCAGAGGAACGUACGCCUUAAAAGCCCAAUGGCUUCCUGAUUCCCCAUCUGGGCCAACGAUGUAAAGCCCAGGCCUAUUCGAUAUUCUAGAAGCUAAACCACCUGAAAAUGUUUCAAUGCUGAGUCCGAAUGGUUUCGCUGCGUGGCACCUAGUUUUAAUUUCUUUCCAUUCCUACCAUAUUAUAAAGGAAAAAGCUAUUUACCCCAACUUGCACCCCGAAUGAAACUCACCGUUUUACUUAAAUAGAAAACUCACCGUUUGGAAACUUUUUUCCUUUCGUUUGGAAAGACUUAGCUAAAUUGAAAACACCCUGAAUGAAGCUCCAAAACGAUCCGUUUUCAUGAAGCAUUCCUCAAGUUCUCAUAGCCAUCACGGGAGCCAAAGAGGACCAACCACAACCAUCACGCGAUCGAGGUCGCCGUUGCCAUCACCGACAGUCACACGACAACCAACACUCACAAAGCUGAUUGGGAUUUGUGUUUGUGUGUGUGUGUGAUACUUUUUUUGCUGCUGGAAUUAUUGAUACAAUUCCAGCAGCAUUGUUGCUGAUUUGUGUGUGUGAUACAAUUCCAGCGUUGUGAGUGUCGUUCGUGUUAGCUUUGUGAGUGUCGGCUGUCGCGUGAUUGUCAGUGGGAAGACUUCAAUGGCACUAACAAACGCGAAAGAUGAUUCUUGGGGCCUAAAGUAGACACAGAAUUUUCCUUGAGUGAUGCUAAGAAAGAAGUCCUUUAUUACCGGAGACUGGCUACUGUUUUGGACAUUAAAAUUAUGCAACAGCAAAAACGGAUGGGAAGUGGAAACGUUGAAAACAGCUUUGUAGAGAUUUUUUGCAGAGGAGAAAGCAAAGAAAUGAAGACGUACUAGAUGAGUGCCGUCACUGCUGAUAUCGAACUCGUAGUGAGAUGAUUGAUCGAAAACUCUUGCUGUCUGAUAGAGAGCUAAUGUAUCUGGUAACUGGCUGCUGUUUUUAACAGGGUAGCUCGGCUUUGAAAAGGAGAUGGAAUAUGAAUUCAGGUCCCCUCUGAAUGUCCGAUUGCCAGAAUUCACGUCGGUGUCUGAACCACAGUUGAUGAAAUACUUGUCUGGAAGACUAUAUGCUGCACAAGUAAGUCCAACUGACAAGAGAUGGACGAGAAAAAUGAGAGGGGAUGAAGAUUUGAGGACUUUCUUGGUUUGAAUCUUUGCCAUGAAUUCAGGUGGAGGAAAGCUAAUCUCUGUGAACUUUGAAGACUUUGUGGUUGAAAGAUGUUUAUAUGAUAUCCAUUUUUCAGAGAAGACUCGAGUCAACAUAGUUGAAAAAUCAAACAUGAAAAUCCG